AUGAGCCCGGGCUGGGGUCCUUGGGGCCUGGUUAAGUCCCUCAAAGGCACUGUUCAGGAGCCAGCCCAUAGUAAACCAGUUGUCACCCAUCCUCCCUCGCCGCCGCCGUCGCCAUUACCCAAAACAGCUCCCAUGUCCACCGCGGCCGUUCCCUCCGACGAGUCCUGCCGCCCUGGCUGGGUCCUACUCCACGGCCAUGCCCACAUCGAAAAAAUCCGCGACGAAACCACCGCGAAGUGCAGCACGAAGACCAACGAGGAGAUCUUUGCUUCCUUUUCCCGCCGCCACCCGCCGCUCCCCUCCAACCUAUACGUGGACUGCCCGGGACGCACCCUCCUUCAUCCCCCCGGCGUCCUCUCCAUGGCCGACGACCUCAUCCUGUUCAACGCAUGCGUUGGGUCUGAUCGCCGCUACCCCCGCUUAGUCGAGCGGGACUUCUUCGUCUACCGUGCCGGCCCCAGACCGCCUUCUCUCAAGAUGCUACCUCGCCCGCACACUCCGAUUGCCAGUAUCCACGAGGUCGUCGUCGUCGUACCACGCGGCCGCGACCACUACGCCAUCGCCGCGCUUGUUCCCCACGUACACGAGAACAGCAGUUUUGUCCUCCACCAGUUCGACUCCGAAGCCGGGACCUGGAUCUCCAGGGUGCUGCGCGUCGACCCGCCGCAGGAGCCUUUCCCGGAGCCAAUCCCCAUGGACCUCAGCCAGAUAUUUUACCACACGACAAACUGUGCGAUCACGGUCGGAAGCGCCAUCGGCUGGGUCGAUCUCUGGCGUGGCAUCAUCCUCUGGGACAUGCUGGGCAAUGAGCGUACACUCACUGGCAUGCCGGUUCCGCUUCCGAUGAAGCAAAUCAGAGCUUCUGAUGCGUCAGACCGGAGAUUAGGCCAUGCGAGGUAUACCCGUGGUAUUUCCUUCAUCAAUGGCAGCCUCAGGUUUGUCGAGCUGCAAUUUGAAGUCCUUCACCUUCAUGGUUUGUAUGAUGAAGAAACCGGGUGGCCGAUCUCCGAAACGAAAAGCUGGACGAUCACCACAUGGAACAAUAGAGGCAUGAGUGAGCUUCAUAGUGAUUGGGACGAGGACUGCACACUCCGAGCUUCCGAAAUUGCUGUCGGCGACGACACCAAAUCUGAGCUCUCACUUCUGCUGCGAGACGGCUGCGAUGAUCAUGCGGAUGCGGAGCAGCGAGGCUUGCAGAACCUUUUUGUGUCUGACCCACAUUUUGGCAUGAAUGACAGCGAUGCCGAUGGUGAUAUUAUUUACCUGACUGCCAGGGUGAAAUUCUUGCACCCGAAGUCAUGGAUUCUCGCUAUUGAUAUGAAGAACCACAGGGUGCAAAGUGUGGCUAUGUCUGCUCCUCUACCUAAAGGAUUGCCCUGUGUCGAUUCAAACUAUUGCACUUGCAUUAUCUCCAAAUGUACAAAUUAA
rnacentral:rRNA from 1 species